rnacentral:rRNA from 1 species
GAUGAGCGCUAGCGGUAUGCUUAACACAUGCAAGUCGUACGGGAGUUUUUUAACUCAAGUGGCGCACGGGUGCGUAACACGUGGGAAUUUGCCUCGGGGUAUGGAAUAACUCAGGGAAACUUGAGCUAAUACCAUAUAAUGUCUUCGGACCAAAGAUUUAUCGCCCUGAGAUAAGCCCGCGUAGGAUUAGCUAGUUGGUGGGGUAAAGGCCUACCAAGGCGACGAUCCAUAGCUGGUCUGAGAGGAUGAUCAGCCACACUGGGACUGAGACACGGCCCAGACUCCUACGGGAGGCAGCAGUGGGGAAUAUUGGACAAUGGGGCGAAAGCCUGAUCCAGCAAUGCCGCGUGAGUGAUGAAGGCCUUAGGGUUGUAAAGCUCUUUACCCGAGAUGAUAAUGACUGUACCGGAAGAAUAAGCCCGGCUAACUUCGUGCCAGCAGCCGCGGUAAAGUGACUACU